rnacentral:rRNA from 1 species
AGUGAACGCUGGCGGCAGGCCUAAUACAUGCAAGUCGAACGGCAGCACAGCAGAGCUUGCUCUGUGGGUGGCGAGUGGCGGACGGGUGAGGAAUACAUGGGAAUCUGCCCAGUCGUGGGGGAUAACGUAGGGAAACUUACGCUAAUACCGCAUGCGCCCUUCGGGGGAAAGCCGGGGACCUUCGGGCCUGGCGCGAUUGGAUGAGCCCAUGUCGGAUUAGCUAGUUGGCGGGUAAAGGCCCACCAAGGCGACGAUCCGUAGCUGGUCUGAGAGGAUGAUCAGCCACACUGGAACUGAGACACGGUCCAGACUCCUACGGGAGGCAGCAGUAGGGAAUAUUGGACAAUGGGCGCAAGCCUGAUCCAGCCAUGCCGCGUGAGUGAAGAAGGCCCUCGGGUUGUAAAGCUCUUUUGUCCGGAAAGAAAAGCGCCGGGUUAAUACCCUGGUGUCCUGACGGUACCGGAAGAAUAAGCACCGGCUAACUCGUGCCAGCAGCCGAC